GGUUAUAUAGUAUAGUAGUAGCAUAUAUAUUUAGCGUUAGCCAUCUUAAAUACCUCUAAGAGGGGGUUUAGGGCUGCUAUUGUACUAGGUCGUAGGUUCGACCCCUACUAUAACCU